AGAUCGAAGCUCCGAGCAGGAAACGCCACCGCCCUCCAUCUCCCCCGUGUCCCUAGCCAGGAGCACCGUCCCCCUCACCACCCCGCCUAACUUUCCUAUCCUCAUCCCGACGCCUGGAGAUCCAUCCUCAAACGCCGCUGCUAGGGCACCGUCCCGCGCUAGGACCCCCCGCGCCUCGCAAUCAUGUCACCGGCAACUCUGACGACCUAGGGCUCACAGGCAAGUACCGCUUCUCAUGUCCGCCUUCUGCUUCCCCUCGCGUUCGCCGCCGGCAUGAAUCCCUGCUUCGGGCCUUCUAGAGGCUAGCACCACGAUGGCCGACCCGGGCGCCUCCGUCAACAUCGCUGCGCGCCACCACCUCGCGUCGCAGCUCGCGAGGCAGCCGCCAGUGACGCACACGGGCUGGUGGGGAGGGGCGCGUUCGUACCACCAUGGGAGGGGCGUGGGGCGUGGCAUCAAGGGUGAGGGAGGGGCGUCGAGGAGGCGGACGGCAACAAGCCCACACAUCCAACACCCUACCAGGUCUUUGAUGCUGCUGCUUCACCAAACAAUGAAAUGCUCUUGAUGCAUGAUUCAGGAGCUAGGAGGAUAUCUAUUGUCGUCGAGUUACAUGAAGUUGACUUUCCUCUGCUGCUGUUGUGCUCAGUGUGGAUGACAUUGUGCUGCCUCAGGUACAACUUUCCUUUUCUGUGCUUAAGUAAAAAAAUGUUGUUCCAUUCGAUACACAGUCGGAUUAUUUGAUUUAAAGCCUUGCUGAAGUUGACAUUGUGAUAUAUCGUGACCCUGGUAAAAAAUAUUUUCAAGUUCAGAAAGCAGGAUACUUCCUUUAAUAUGUCUAUCACACAUGUUCACGGAGAUAAUUCUACACAUGGUUUUUUAUACCUCUUUUUGACCCCACUUGGAGAUGGAAGCGAGAUUUUGAAGUUUUAAGGCCUGCAGUGCCGUGGUCUUGCGUUGAUAUCUGUAGUUGUACAUAGAAAUUUUCUCAUUUGGUGUAUGUCUUUGCUACUUUUUCCUUAAACAUAAAUUAUAUUUUUAUAACUAUCUGGCAGUUAUUGAUCUAUCACUGCCUUACUACAUGAUACCUAUCUGGCAGUUAUGAAAAUAUUCGAAUCCAUUUUAUAUGUAAAUCCUAAAAUUUUCGAAUCCAAAGCCACCCAUUACAAUAUUAUGUACUGAAAUUAUAUCUUUUACUUAUGUGUCACUCUGCAUUUUUUUAAGAUUUAAAAAAAUUUCUUCCUUAUUUUAUACAUGGUUGAACACCAACCUUCAUGAUUCACUGGAUCUUCUUAGUAUUAUCUCUAACAAAAGAAUUUAUAAAGUUCUUUCCCCACAAAUGCAAAUAUAGGUAUUAGCUUAUUGAUUUUAAAUUGGUUAUUAAAUGUCUGGCAUGGAUCUCCUCCCUGCUCACGGGCCUCACCAUCCUCAAUGGCGAGUGUAAAACUUCGCACCAACACACUCGACAAGCUUGAUGGCGACCCCUACGUCAACAUCCGCAUGGGCAAGGUCAUGUAAUUUUUAUCUUCAUUUCAAUAGUGAUUGAAGCAAAUGAAAAUUUUAAAAUUUUGGCAGUGAGUAUGCAACACUUCCAAGCAAUGGAUAAUGUAUUAAUGUGGGGCUGUGGGCGUUGGAACGUGCGUGUUGACUAGCUUUGAUUAGCUUGUCGAUAUACAUACUUAGCCAUCUAUUUUUUCUUCUCCUUUCAAAUGCUAUGCUAUUGCUACUGCUGUUGGAGUGUACCAUUUAACUUGAUAUAUGAUUUAAUAGAUGCUUUGUGUGCAUAAAUCGUCUACAGUUACCAUCUGGACUUUUUUAGCCAUGUUUGAGAGAUGUGACGGAGUUUGGAUUUCACUUAAAAAUGCAGGUCCAGUUGAUGUUUAAUGUGCCUGAACUGCAGUUACAGUCAUAAAGCUCAAACAAUCUUGAGCAUUUGGUUUUACAUUAUAUUCUCUGGUUUCUGUUUUUGUGAUUUGUGUUCUGAUGAUGCAAACGCUUCCAUUUUUUAUGUUGCUCCUGCACAAGAUUUCCUGCACAACCAACUGUUUUUUGAAUUCUUUAUGUUAUUUGAUCCAGGGAGUGGACACAAUCAGGCUCUUGCGCAAGUAUCCCCUGAAUUUACUACCUGUAGUUUCGAAAUGGGCUUACCCAAAAAAAUAUUUGCACUAAGAAUAUUUAUGUUUGUUUAGUUGGUCUGGACAAACCACAAGAUCAGUUUAAGCAUUGCUUCCAAAUGCCAUUAAAUAUUUAUCUUGACUGAAAAUUCGCACACAAGAAUAGUAAUAUUCUAUGACCAAGUGACUGUAGUAUGAAGAAGCAUGUGUCAUUUUCCUGAUUAAUUUAGCUGGUUCAACUUUGUUGGGGUCCCAAGUCUUGGCCAGAACUUGAUGUAAUUAAACUCCUUUAGACAAUUGAGUACCUUUCUAUGUGGAUUUACAUAUCCCUUUGCUUAUUUAGUAACUUCUGCAAAAUUUGAAUCCUAGGCAAUGUCAACCUCAACACCUUGAUGAACAUGUUCAGUGUGCUUGGUGCUGGUGGUGGCCUUGGUGGUCGAAAUGCUUCUAAUGGUCCCUUUAUGUGGCACACAUGAAUACCUACAACUCCAUAAUGUUGCUGAAUGAUUAAUUAUGGAAUGUGGACAAUGCAAGAUACAUUUUGAGUACCCUUUUGAUCUAGGCUCUGGACCGCCAUGCUUGCGUCGGACGCGGGACGUCCACGCCGCCAUCGCCCGUGAGCAGCUCCGACAGCCUCAUCGCCGCGUUGCACCUGCUCUUGUGUCGCAGGCUCGGGUUACCGUCGGUGCUGACACCGAGGAAGGCAUGAUCCAUGCGGAGCAGCCCAAGGCGCGAUGCCACCUCCGCUGUCACGCAUGAUGAGCUGCUUCGCCUCUGGCACCGCCUUGUUCCUUCGCGAUCUCACAUUGGACGGUGGAUGAACUUGGGCUUCCAAGAUCCGUAAUACAAGGUAAAUUGAGUACCUUUUGUGACCUCUUCUGUAUUUCUAGGCCUUUGUAUAACAGCUGUGGACAAAACCUGUAAACAUGUUGGAUGAACUGGAGCAGCUAUUGAAAGGUAACUCUAUGGUGAAAGAGCUAACGCCUAGGACAAAUGACUACCUUGUUUCAUUUCGAGAAUGUAUGUCCACCAGGAUUUUAUCUGUUAAUUUGAACAAAAUUCAUAUCAAAGCACGACAGGUACUUCUUGAUAUUUCCUUGAUUUGCACAGUGAUUGAGUGAGCUUUUAAGGGUACGAAUGUAGCAGCCUAGAAUAAUUCUAUAUUUACUUACUACUAUAAAGAGCGGGAGCAAAAUAUAGCUAUACAAUUGAUGUAUAUUUAGCAUAUCAAACAAUGCUCAAGAUACUUAAUUAAUUGCAUACUAUAGUUAGGCUGUAUAUACCAAUGCAAUGGUCACUAGCAAGAUAAUGCAGCCUCACAGUCUUAUGACAUCAGCCAAUAUAUAAAUUAGACCAUUUUUGUUGCUGCAACUGCAACUAAUACUAUGUUGAAGUGUUUUUCGUUAACUCUGCUCUGAAAAUGCUUUUUGCUUCACUCUUUGACAUAUCUAUAUGACUAUAUAGCCGAUGCCUGUUUUUACUAUAUGCUUAUCAUGAAUCUCAUGUUUUCCAUAUGAAUAAUGCUAGCUGUUGCAACAUCUUUGUUUGGAGCUAAUGAUACAUUUAAUCCUAGACUUGAUGGCAAAGAACGGGUGCAAUUUUUUGUCUCUCUAUUUCCUAUUUAUGUUGCACAAAUAAUUGUUUCCUUUUGUUAUCCAAAUAAAUAAUUACUUCCUUCUCCACCCUUUUCUCCAGUUGUAGCGAGUGAGUUUUAGUAAGGGAUAAACAAUAGUAGGAAGAACUCUGUUGUGUUUCAAUCUCGAGUAUUUGAUGGAUGGGGCAUUGUUCUAUAGAUGGUGUAUACAGAAAUGAUCUUAACUGUCAUUUUGGUCAAAACCACAAUAGUUCUACUUAUGUUAGAAAAUCAAAAGAUUUAAGUGUCUUCCAUGGUUUAAAGUUCAUGAUGAGCAAAUUUGACUUAUUUUUAAUUGUUUAUCAUAUUUUGAGAAUAAUUUUGCUGCCUAUUCAACAGAUACCAUGGGGGGAGCAUUUGAUCCAGCUAGCUGGCAAACAAGAUUUGGUGGUAACUGUUUAUGAUGAAACAAAUAUUUCGAAUCAUUAAUUGCUAUGUUUGUGUCUGCAUCCUGUCAGCAAUUAGGAUGUGACAGGACAUGGCCUCCCUCCAAUGCAAAAAUCCCAAAAGCUCCUUGCAGACACACUUAUUUGCAUUCUUUGCGCUGACAUGCAGUUAGGAUGCGACAGGGCCUCCCUCCAAUGCAAAAUCACAUUAACCAUGUCACCGCUGUCAAUUGUUUUCUUGAGUUUGUUCCCAAAACCUCUUAAUUAUUAUUGCCCACGGAUAGUCAUGUUAUCUACAUAAUCCGUUUUGCCACUCUUCAGGGUUCUGCAUUGUGAAUAGAGGUUCAUCUUUGUGAUUAGAUUGCCACCGCCGCUGCUUUCUACUCAUUCGACGAAUGUUUUGCAAAGAAGAAAUCUGGUUUAUCUUACCCUCGAUUCCUUCCUAUGAUACAACUAACAAAAUGAAUUGGUACAUUCAGGUAUCUUUAAAACCUUUUCACUUCCAAAUUAGAAUGAUAUCAUGCUCAAGAGGUAACAUUUUCUGAUGUUUUUUAUUUUAAUAGUAAUUAUUGGUCGCUGACUUUUUAAAACUAUUUGUGUUGUACUUCAAGCAUCUUCUACACUGCAUCUAAGCUUUGAAGAGUUACGGACAAUUUUGUACUAAUUGUUUUCUUUAUUUUCCCAAAUGUGUGCCACUUCCUUUAGUAUUUUUGCAGUGCAGACGAUUGAAAACUACUGUUUUACAUCACCUCUCUGUCAUAGGAAUAGUUUACUACUCUAAUGCUCAUUCUAUUAACACUAAAAAAAGAUAUAUCGCUUGAAAACAGGUAUGUAUUUCAAUCUUCUAGAUUUAUAUUUCUUUCUUUAUAUAUACAAAACAGGUAAGUUUGUACCAUUUGUUUUAUUUUUUAAAAAAAGAAAAGGUAUGACACUUACAUUAGUAUUUUUUCCCACCAGAAACGAUUGAAAACUAUUGUUUCCCGUCACCUCCUGUCAUAGAUGGCUUGGACCCUCUUAUUAUCCUGGGAGCCUCGGUGGUUUGGAAGCAUAGAAACAGAGUGGUGUUCGGUAGAGUUUCUUCCAACCUCACUCUUAUUCUGGAGUCUGCUAAUGAGGAAAGCGAGAAAUGACAAGUUGCAGGAGCCAAGGGUUAUCCUUUCUGGCUGCUCCAAGCCAUAUAAUUUAGGGUGGUUGGAUCCUUCAUGGAUAUUUUAAUGUACUUCUGUUGUUGGCCUCCGUAAGAAGUGCAUGUAUCCCGGGCGUCUUUCAGCUCUUUGUAUUCUUCGUCUUUUAAUAUAGUGGGGCGCAGUUCUCCUGUGCUUUUCGAGAAAAAAAAAUAUGUGCAUCUAUUUAAGUCUCUUACCAAUAA